rnacentral:lncRNA from 1 species
AUGAGCUCGCUUUAGUAACAGAAGGACUAAGUGUGUAUCCUUGUUGAUGUCACGUGAGCCCCCUUUAGUAACAGAUAGAAGGACUGUGUUUCCUUGUUGAUGUCGCGUGAGCUCACUUUAGUAACAGAUAGAAGGACUAAGUGUGUUUCCUUGUUGAUGUCACAUGAGCUCGCUUUAGUAACAGAUAGAAGGACUAAGUGUGUUUCCUUGUUGAUGUCACGUGAGCCCCCUUUAGUAACAGAAAGAAGGACUGUGUUUCCUUGUUGAUGUCGCGUGAGCUCGAUUUAGUAACAGAUAGAAGGACUAAGUGUGUUUCCUUGUUGAUGUCACGCGAGCUCGCUUUAGUAACAGAUAGAAGGUCUAAGUGUGUUUCCUUGUUGAUGUCAUGUGAGCUCGCUUUAGUAACAGAUAGAAGGACUAAGUGUGAUUCCUUGUUGAUGUCACGUGAGCUCGCUUUAGUAAAAGAUAGAAGGACUAACUGUGUUUCCUUGUUUAUGCCACGUGAGCUCCCUUUAGUAACAGAAGGACUAACUGUGUUUCCCUGUUGAUGUCGCGUGAGCUCGCUUUAGUAACAGAUAGAAGGACUAAGUGUGUUUCCUUGUUGAUGUCGCGUGAGCUCGCUUUAGUAACAGAUAGAAGGACUAACUGUGUUUCCUUGUUGAUGCCACGUGAGCUCCCUUUAGUAACAGAAGGACUAACUGUGUUUCCCUGUUGAUGUCGCGUGAGCUCGCUUUAGUAACAGAUAGAAG